CAGCAGCCACGGGAAUACGAAGGGUGCAAGCGUUAAUCGGAAUUACUGGGCGUAAAGCGUGCGUAGGCGGUUUGUUAAGUCUGCUGUGAAAUCCCCGGGCUCAACCUGGGAAUGGCAGUGGAUACUGGCAAGCUAGAGUGUGUCAGAGGAUGGUGGAAUUCCCGGUGUAGCGGUGAAAUGCGUAGAGAUCGGGAGGAACAUCAGUGGCGAAGGCGGCCAUCUGGGACAACACUGACGCUGAGGCACGAAAGCGUGGGGAGCAAACAGGAUUAGAUACCCCAGUAGUCCCUGUCUCUUAUAC
rnacentral:rRNA from 1 species